rnacentral:misc_RNA from 1 species
AGAUUGCAGUCCUCCAUGCCAAGUCUGGCAAGACUUUAGCCACAGUCACCAAUGUGACAUCUAAAUCAACAAUCUUAGAUGUAAAAAAGGAAUAUCAAAAGAAAAAUCCAAAGUAUUACAUAACCAGACAAGCUUUCAAAGUUGAUCCAAAGGGAAAGGCUUUAAAAGAUGAUGAGACAUUGGGCAGUCUAGGAUUAUCAGGGAAAAGGGCACUCUGUAUUUCAAAGAUCUUGGUCCACAAAUUGGUUGGACUACCGUGUUUCUAUCGGAGUAUGCAGGUCCUUUGGCCAUUUAUUUGGUCUUUUACACCAGGCCAGCCAUUAUCUAUGGCGCAGCUGCAGCAUCUGAACCAAGAGCCCAGGUGGUCAACAUUGCCUGUGCUUGUUUCUCCUUCCACUAUAUCAAGAGGCUCCUAGAAACAGUAUUUAUCCACAGAUUUUCUAAUGCCACCAUGCCCAUUUCAAAUUUAUUCAAGAAUUGUUCCUACUAUUGGGGAUUUGCAGCAUUCAUCUCUUACUUCAUCAAUCAUCCAUUGUAUACAGUUCCAACAUUUGGAGAUAAACAAAUUUUUGGUGGCCUGGCUGGUUUUAUAAUUGGAGAACUCGGCAACUUUUCUGUCCAUGUUGCCUUUAGAAAUAUGAGACCAGCUGGAACAAGGACAAGGAAAAUCCCCGUUCCUGACAGCAACCCUCUGACCCAGUUGUUCAACCUUGUGUCCUGUCCUAACUACACGUACGAGGUCAUCGCCUGGAUCAGCUUCAGUGUUAUGACACAAUGUUUGCCCGCUGCAUUGUUCACAACCUGUGGGUUUUACCAGAUGGCUGUCUGGGCACUAGGAAAACACAGAAAUUACAAGAAGGAGUUCAAAGAUUACCCUCGUUCUAGGAGAGGCAUCGUACCAUUCCUUCUAUAAACAAACAUUUUAUGAAUAUUUGUACUUAUUUCUUUGAGGAAUUUAUCAACAUUCACUUGUUAUAGUAGAUGAAAAACUGAGAGUGCUAAGAUAAUGCACAAUAGCGUCAACAAGAUGUUGUACAAAUUAAUUUUUUUUAAAUUGCAUCAAUAUAAUCAUAGUUCAAGAAAAUUGUGAAUAGCCUGAUCUUGUAGAAAAUAAAAGAUCAAUAUG